CUUUACUAUAGCGUGUUAUUGGGACAGUGUUUACAUUGUUUAGGAUAGGUGGGAGCCUUUGAAGCGGUCGCGCUAGCGACUGUGGAGGCAACGGUGAAAUACCACCCUGUGUGAAUGUUGUUUCUAACUUGAUUCUAACCUAAUCAAGGACAGUGGCUCGUGGGUAGUUUAACUGGGGCGGUUGCCUCCUAAAUGGUAACGGAGGCGUUUAUAAAGGUAGGCUAGGCGCGGAUGGAAAUCGCGCUGGUAGUGCAAACGCAUAAGCCUGCUUGACUGCAAGAGUGGCGACUCGCGCAGGUGGGAAACCAGAAGUUAGUGAUCCGAUGCGUUCGAGUGGAAGACGCAAAGCCCAACGGAUAAAAGUUA
rnacentral:rRNA from 1 species